CAGAGGGGAGAGAUGUCCGAGAGACCCAGAGCUCCCCGCUCAGCCCUCUGGCUCCUGGCCCCCCCACUGUUGCGAUGGGCACCCCCUCUCCUCACCGUGCUGCACAGUGACCUCUUCCAGGCCUUGCUGGACAUCCUGGACUUUUAUGAGGCUUCCAUCUCGGAGAGCCAGAAAUACCGCUACCAAGAUGAAGACACGCCCCCUCUGGAGCACAGCCCGGCCCACCUCCCCAACCAGGUAAACGCCCCCGAGCUGGUGCACGUGGCGGAGAGGAACUUGUCCCACCUCGAGGCCGUCCACGGGGUCGUGGGCCACGCCCACCUCUCCCCCCUCAAGGCCAACUCUCCUCCUGUGAUUGUCAACACAGACACCCUAGAAGCCCCGGGAUAUGAGUUGCAGGUGAACGGGACGGAGGGGGAAAUGGAAUACGAGGAGAUCACAUUGGAAAGGGGCAACUCAGGUCUGGGCUUCAGCAUCGCAGGUGGUACCGACAACCCACACAUUGGAGACGACCCAUCCAUCUUCAUCACCAAGAUCAUUCCUGGCGGGGCUGCGGCCCAGGAUGGCCGCCUCAGGGUCAACGAUAGCAUCUUGUUUGUAAAUGAAGUGGACGUUCGGGAGGUGACCCACUCGGCUGCAGUAGAGGCCCUCAAGGAGGCGGGCUCCAUUGUCCGCCUCUAUGUCAUGCGCCGGAAGCCCCCAGCUGAGAAACUCAUGGAGAUCAAGCUCAUCAAGGGCCCUAAAGGUCUUGGCUUCAGCAUCGCAGGGGGUGUAGGGAACCAGCACAUCCCUGGAGAUAACAGCAUCUACGUGACGAAGAUCAUCGAAGGGGGUGCCGCCCACAAGGAUGGGAGGCUGCAGAUCGGGGACAAGAUUCUAGCGGUCAACAGCGUGGGGCUGGAGGACGUCAUGCAUGAGGACGCCGUGGCAGCCCUGAAGAACACGUAUGACGUGGUCUACCUGAAGGUGGCCAAGCCCAGCAAUGCCUACCUGAGUGACAGCUACGCUCCCCCAGACAUCACGACCUCUUAUUCCCAGCACCUGGACAAUGAGAUUAGUCACAGCAGUUACCUGGGGACCGACUACCCCACAGCCAUGACCCCGACUUCCCCUCGGCGCUACUCCCCGGUGGCCAAGGACCUGCUGGGGGAGGAAGACGUGCCCCGGGAACCGCGGCGGAUCGUGAUCCACCGGGGCUCCACGGGCCUGGGCUUCAACAUUGUGGGUGGCGAGGAUGGUGAGGGCAUCUUCAUCUCCUUUAUCCUGGCCGGCGGCCCGGCGGACCUCAGCGGGGAGCUGCGGAAGGGGGACCAGAUCCUCUCGGUGAACGGUGUCGACCUCCGCAGCGCCAGCCACGAGCAGGCUGCCAUUGCCUUGAAGAACGCGGGGCAGACGGUCACCAUCAUCGCUCAGUAUAAACCAGAAGAGUACAGCCGGUUCGAGGCCAAGAUCCACGACCUUCGGGAACAGCUCAUGAACAGCAGCCUGGGCUCGGGGACUGCCUCCCUGCGGAGCAACCCCAAACGGGGUUUCUACAUCAGGGCCCUGUUUGACUAUGACAAGACCAAGGACUGCGGCUUCCUGAGCCAGGCCCUGAGCUUCCGCUUCGGGGACGUGCUGCAUGUGAUCGACGCCAGCGAUGAGGAGUGGUGGCAGGCGCGGCGGGUCCACUCCGACAGCGAGACCGAUGACAUCGGCUUCAUCCCCAGCAAACGGCGGGUUGAACGACGGGAGUGGUCGAGGUUAAAGGCCAAGGAUUGGGGCUCCAGCUCUGGAUCACAGGGUCGAGAAGACUCCGUUCUGAGCUACGAGACGGUGACGCAGAUGGAAGUGCACUAUGCUCGCCCCAUCAUCAUCCUUGGGCCCACCAAGGACCGAGCCAAUGAUGACCUGCUCUCCGAGUUCCCGGACAAGUUUGGAUCCUGUGUUCCCCAUACAACGCGGCCCAAGCGGGAGUACGAGAUAGACGGCCGGGACUACCACUUCGUGUCCUCCCGAGAGAAGAUGGAGAAGGACAUCCAGGCGCACAAGUUCAUUGAGGCCGGCCAGUACAACAGCCACCUCUACGGGACGAGCGUCCAGUCCGUGCGGGAGGUGGCCGAGCAGAGAGAUCAAUAAGCGGAUCACAGAGGAGCAAGCCCGCAAAGCCUUCGACAGAGCCACCAAGCUGGAGCAGGAAUUCACAGAGUGCUUCUCAGCCAUCGUGGAGGGCGACAGCUUUGAGGAGAUCUACCACAAGGUGAAGCGUGUCAUCGAGGACCUCUCAGGCCCCUACAUCUGGGUCCCGGCCCGAGAGAGACUCUGACUCCUGCCCUGGCGUGGCCUGGACUCGCCCCGCCUCCCUCAUGCGGGCCCCUUGGUCUGGACUGAAUUGCCCAAGCCCUUCGCGCCCCCAGCCUCCCUCCCGUCCCUUCUUAUUUAUUUCCUUUCUAACUGGAUCCAGCCCUGGAGGGGGGACACUCCCCUGCAUGUAUCCCCGCACCCCAGAACUGGGCUCCGGGACCCCAGGAACCUGGGGUCUGGGGUGGGGAGCCGGGCUCCUGGUCCCGAGCCCAUGCUCCUGAGGACCUGAGCCCCUGCCCACCCCCACCGCACACACAAGCCCAGCGGGGGCCACCUGCCCUCCCCUAUCUUCUCCCACACACAUUCCAGAAGUCAGGGCCCCCUCAAGGAGCACCCCAAUGCAGGGACGCAGGGCCACAGGCCUCCUCUCUCUCCUGAGGCAAGGCCUGGGGCCCCCCUGCCCCCGUCAGAACUCCCCAGGUCCCUUGGUUUAGCAUUUAUUUUUUCCCAUUUUUUUUUCUUCUCCAAGGUGGUUUUUUGGGGGGAUAAGUGGGGGGACCCUGCUGUGGGCCCCCUGCCUUCCACAUGCCCCCCACCUUUUUCCUUUGCUGGUUUGCAUGAGUGGAAGGUCUAACUGUGGCUUUUUUUUUUUUUCCUGGGAUUUAUUUUUUAUUUUAUUUUAUUAUUUUUUUUGGGGGGGAAAGGGGAGGGAUGGGUCUAGGGAGUGGGAGCGUGGGAGGGAGGGGGGGGCAGGGGUUGGGGGUUGGGCAUCCGGGAGCCAGGGGAAGACUGGAAAUGCUGCCGCCUUCUGCAAUUUAUUUAUUUUUUUCUUUUGAGAGAGUGAAAGGAAGAGACAGAUACUUGAAACCUGGUGUGUGGCCUGGUUAUUGGGGGUGUGGGUGAGGAGGGAGUCAGGGUGGGAGCGCGGAGGGAUGGGCCUGGUAGCCAGAGCCCUCUUCACACCGGCCCAGAGAGGGGGGCGUGCCCUGAAAGGAGUCUCGGAGGGAACCUGAAACCAGGGCUCCUGAGUCAGUAGUGAGGUAUGGGCCUGGGAAGGGCCGGAGGCACUGUCCACAGUCACUGACCCAGAAAGAGGCCAGACCGGUACAGGGUCCCUGCAAACUUGGCCCAGCCCUGAUCCCUCCUCUGGGCCGUCUGGGGCAGCAUGACGCUCUCGAAAGGAGAAGGUAGAAGAAACUUUCUUGGUUCAGGUUCGUAGAGUUGUGGACAGAGCUGGGCUCUUGUCAGUGAGGUUUACAGAGAUUGGUUGAUAAGAAGUGCCGUUACUGGAUUUCUUUAUGUCUCAUCUCUAUAGAUAGAUUUAAAGCAGCUUUGCCAAUAAUCAGGGUAGGAGAAUGGAACCUCGAUACUGAAGAUUAAAACAACAACAACAACAACAACAACAAAACAAAAAAACACCAGAUGCAGUGGCUAUGAGGAGAAGUAUGCUCUCUGAGCUUCCUGGUAGACAGGGCAAAAAAGGAAAUGGCCCAUUACCUAGUUCUUUCUUACAAAGGAGCAAAAAAGCUCUGGUUCUUCUAGGGAGUCAGAUUUUCCUGACCCUAAGCCUCGCUGAAGCUUCUCAGGUGCUCCUGUGUAGGGUAUCGGUUCUUGGCUUUUCUCCUGCCACUGUUCAUAUGCUUGAUAGGCCCCUGCCGGGAAGACCUCAGCUGCAGCAUCCCUGAGCCAUUGCUGGCUCCCUCUGAUUCAGGGGCCCCAGUCGGGGAGGCUGAGGUGGAGGGCACUAAGAGUUGAGAUGGUUAAGCCCGGAACAGUGCAGAAGUUGAGAGCUGGAUGCAGAAGGUCCACCCCAGGGCCUAAGCUGAUCCAAGGAGCGUGCUAGAGAUCUCUAGCAGGGUGUCACUGAAACCAGUGGUCCUGUCCGUGGAUUGCCGCACACAAACUAAUGUGCCGGGCUCUAAACAACCCAGCCUACUGAAUC